GCUGCCGUUUCGGCGACAGCGGGGUCAUGGGACCGCGAUACUCGACGGAAGACGAAGUGCAAUUACCUGGAAAGGUAAGCCGUGGAGGGUGACAGCCCCGUGCACGACACCUCUUUCAAAGAUAGCGGUAUCCCGAGUAGGGCGGGACACGAGAAAUCCUGCCUGAAUUCGCCAGGACCUCCUGGCAAGGCUAAAUACUCCCGAGAGACCGAUAGUGAACCAGUACCGCGAGGGAAAGGUGAAAAGUACCCCGAGCAGGGGGGUGAAAUAGACCCUGAACCCGCGCGCCUACAAGCGGUCGGAGCCAUGAAAUAUGGUGACGGCGUGCCUUUUGCAUAAUGAGCCUACGAGUUAGUCGUCACCAGCGAGGUUAAGGGCUUCAGGCCCGUUAGCCGAAGUGAAAGCGAGCCUUAACAGGGCGUCGAGUUGGUGGCGCUAGACGCGAAACCUUGUGAUCUACCCACGAGCAGGUUGAAGUCGCGGUAACACGUGAUGGAGGACCGAACCGGUAAACGUUGAAAAGUUUUCGGAUGACUCGCGGGUAGGGGUGAAAGGCCAAUCAAACUGGGAAAUAGCUCGUACUCUCCGAAAUGCAUUUAGGUGCAGCCUGUGAUGUUCUGUUCCAGAGGUAGAGCUACUGGUUGGACGCGAGGGCUUCACCGCCUAUCAAAUCCGGAUAAACUCCGAAUGCUGGAACACGAAAUCAUGGAGUGAGCCCGCGGGUGCUAAGGUCCGCGGACGAGAGGGAAAGAACCCGGACCACCGGCUAAGGUCCCGGAUGGACAGUUAAGUUGAUCAAACGAGGUGGGAUCGCUGAGACAGCUAGGAUGUUGGCUUGGAAGCAGCCAUUCAUUUAAAGAGUGCGUAACAGCUCACUAGUCGAGCGAUCCCGCGUGGAUAAUACACGGGCAUCAAACUGUCAACCGAAGCCGUGGGGUUAGUUAAUGACUAACCGGUAGGAGAGCAUUCCUGCCAGCUUUGAAGGUCACCCGCGAGAGUGACUGGAGCGGCAUGAAAAGCAAAUGUAGGCAUAAGUAACGAUAAUGGGGGCGAGAACCCCCCACGCCGCAAGACCAAGGAUUCCCCGGCAAUGUCAAUCAGCCGGGGGUCAGCCGGCCUCUAAGGCUCACCCGAAAGGGGAUGCCGACGAGAAACGGGUUAACAUUCCCGUGCUUCUCGUCACCGUGACGCGGUGACGGGGUGAUGAAUGGACCGCGCGCUGACGGAAUAGCGCGUUGAAGGCCGUACCCGAUGAGGGUGGUAGUCAAGCACGCCACCCGAGGCGAGAGCCGAUAGUACCACGAGACUCCGGUCGAGUGGAUAGCGUCCAGGCAAUUUACCCCCUAGAAAACCCGCUAAACUUCAAGUGACGAGGAACCGUACUGUAAACGGACACACGUGGUCGGGUAGAACAUACCAAGGCGCUCGAGUGAUUCAUGGUCAAGGAACUAGGCAAAAUAGUCCUGUAACUUAGGGAUAAAGGACGCUCUAGUGAUAGAGCCGCAGAGUAAUGGCCCAGGCGACUGUUUACCAAAAACACAUGGCUAUGCCAAAUCGAAAGAUGACGUAUAUGGCCUGACACCUGCCCGGUGCCGGAAGGUUAAGAGGAGAGCUCAUCGGAAACGAGAAGGUUUGAAUUGAAGCCCCGGUAAACGGCGGCCGUAACUAUAACGGUCCUAAGGUAGCGAAAUUCCUUGUCGGGUAAGUUCCGACCUGCACGAAUGGUGUAACGAUCUGGGCACUGUCUCGACCAUGAGCUCGGUGAAAUUGUAGUUCCGGUGAAGAUGCCGGGUACCCGCGACGGGACGGAAAGACCCCGUGAACCUUUACUGCAGCUUCGCGUUGUUCCCGGGCACGGGACGUGUAGGAUAGGUCGGAGGCUAGGAGUCGGUUUCGCCAGGAAUCGAGGAGCCAUCGUUGAAAUACGACCCUUCUCUUGUCUGGGAUCUAACCCAUGGUAAUGGGGACACCGCGUGGUGGGUAGUUUGACUGGGGUGGUCGCCUCCAAAAGCGUAACGGAGGCUUCCAAAGGUACCCUCGGGUUGGUUGGUAAUCAACCGUAGAGUGCAAUGGCACAAGGGUGCUUGACCGGGAGACCAACAAGUCGAUCGGGUGCGAAAGCAGGGCAUAGUGAUCCGGUGAUCCCGCGUGGAAGGGUCAUCGCUCAAAGGAUAAAAGGUACUCCGGGGAUAACAGGCU
rnacentral:rRNA from 1 species